AGAGUUUGAUCCUGGCUCAGGACGAACGCUGGCGGCACGCUUAACACAUGCAAGUCGAACGAGAGAAGAGGAGCUUGCUUUUCUGAUCUAGUGGCGGACGGGUGAGUAACACGUGAGCAAUCUGCCUUUCAGAGGGGGAUACCGAUUGGAAACGAUCGUUAAUACCGCAUAACAUAAUUGAACCGCAUGAUUUGAUUAUCAAAGAUUUAUCGCUGAAAGAUGAGCUCGCGUCUGAUUAGCUAGUUGGUAAGGUAACGGCUUACCAAGGCGACGAUCAGUAGCCGGACUGAGAGGUUGAUCGGCCACAUUGGGACUGAGACACGGCCCAGACUCCUACGGGAGGCAGCAGUGGGGAAUAUUGCACAAUGGAGGAAACUCUGAUGCAGCGAUGCCGCGUGAGGGAAGAAGGUUUUAGGAUUGUAAACCUCUGUCUUCAGGGACGAAAAAAGACGGUACCUGAGGAGGAAGCUCCGGCUAACUACGUGCCAGCAGCCGCGGUAAUACGUAGGGAGCGAGCGUUGUCCGGAAUUACUGGGUGUAAAGGGAGCGUAGGCGGGAUCGCAAGUCAGAUGUGAAAACUAUGGGCUUAACCCAUAAACUGCAUUUGAAACUGUGGUUCUUGAGUGAAGUAGAGGUAAGCGGAAUUCCUAGUGUAGCGGUGAAAUGCGUAGAUAUUAGGAGGAACAUCAGUGGCGAAGGCGGCUUACUGGGCUUUAACUGACGCUGAGGCUCGAAAGCGUGGGGAGCAAACAGGAUUAGAUACCCUGGUAGUCCACGCCGUAAACGAUGAUUACUAGGUGUGGGGGGACUGACCCCUUCCGUGCCGCAGCAAACGCAAUAAGUAAUCCACCUGGGGAGUACGACCGCAAGGUUGAAACUCAAAGGAAUUGACGGGGGCCCGCACAAGCAGUGGAGUAUGUGGAUUAAUUCGAAGCAACGCGAAGAACCUUACCAGGUCUUGACAUCGUAUGCAUAGCUCAGAGAUGAGUGAAAUCUCUUCGGAGACAUAUAGACAGGUGGUGCAUGGUUGUCGUCAGCUCGUGUCGUGAGAUGUUGGGUUAAGUCCCGCAACGAGCGCAACCCUUACUGUUAGUUGCUACGCAAGAGCACUCUAGCAGGACUGCCGUUGACAAAACGGAGGAAGGUGGGGAUGACGUCAAAUCAUCAUGCCCCUUAUGACCUGGGCCUCACACGUACUACAAUGGCUGUCAACAGAGGGAUGCAAAGCCGCGAGGUGGAGCGAACCCCUAAAAGCAGUCUUAGUUCGGAUUGUAGGCUGCAACCCGCCUACAUGAAGUCGGAAUUGCUAGUAAUCGCAGAUCAGCAUGCUGCGGUGAAUACGUUCCCGGGCCUUGUACACACCGCCCGUCACGCCAUGGGAGUCGGUAACACCCGAAGCCUGUAGUCUAACCGCAAGGAGGACGCAGUCGAAGGUGGGAUUGAUGACUGGGGUGAAGUCGUAACAAGGUAGCCGUAUCGGAAGGUGCGGCUG
rnacentral:rRNA from 1 species